ACGGGUGGGGAAGGGGGGCUCGCGCCCUACAGGCCGAGCCCUGCGGCCGCAGCGGGGUAAGGGUAGGAUGGCCGAUCGCGCCCGGACCCCGGGGAGUCCUCACUCGCCUCCCUCUCGGCUUUUCUGCCGGCGUCUCCAGCAGCAUGAUCUGGCAUUUAUUAUUCGGAAUAAUGUGCCAGGCAGGAGGAGGCCCUGGGUUAAACACGCGGCCCUGCAGCUCCCAGGUGAAACGACUCAUCGUUUCCUGCCGGCGCAUCUUACCGAAGGGGACCCAGGCCCCACGAAGGGAAGGAACCGUCCUCAAGGUCACGUCGUAGUCAAAGGCCGAGCCCAGACCGAAGCCAGCCAGUCAGCCUGGAAAUCUGCCUGUAGUCAGCUGAUGCAGAGUCACCCUGCAGUUCCUACUUUGAGGGGUUGCAGAAGCACAUAUUUCACUAUGGAGGGCCGCCUGCAGGCCUCGCGCUGACAGGAUCUUUUGUGACGCUGCAAAUGUCCUGGUCAGUGUCCUUCUUUCUACAAGAGGCGUUGGAGCCGGGCUCUGCAUAGGGCGUAUAUAUCCCUGGCCGCCAAGGAAGCUGACCCUUGAAAUUUGUGAAGCUUUCAUAUUCACUCAAUAUACAUUUACAGAGCCUCUACUUCCUGUCAGGCAUCACACAAUAAAUACUCGGAGGAGCAAGAAGAGAGUGAUUC
rnacentral:sRNA from 1 species